CACUCUGAGAAGCAACAUUAUCAUUGUUAAACCUCAAACGACAACUUAUAAAAUGCCUAAGAAGAACACACGCAGACAGGGUCGACGCCAUUUUGAGAAACCUAAGAAAGAUGAUCCAGUGGCUCCCACUGCAGACUUCGACUGGACAAGGCUUUUUGCCCUCAUCGAAACACCAUCUACAUCCUGUUCUGAUGAAUCCACUCAAGACCAGGGGCCUGUUAAAGAAACAGUAGCAGGCAAGAAAGUUCACAACCCAAAGUCUGUUAAAAAGAGUCUGUGCUUGGAUCAUGACGACAAAACCCUUUCCACGGUGGAACAUGAGACACCAGAAGAUCUGGAGCUGAUAAACAACGAGCUCACACAGCUUGAUUCUUCAGUGGUUGGGGAAACAGAAGAUCUGAAGGACACACAGACCCCACAGGACCAGGAAAUAAAUGGUUUUAGUCCUGAAAAGGAGAAAACUUCACUCCUCAACUCUCAGAAGAUGGUCAUCCUCCAACGUUCUCAGGUCCAAAAUGACACUUCUGUGGUUGACCAACUGGGGAAGGAAAAUGCCAACCUUAAACUGUCUCUGAUCGAGGCCCAACAAGCAUCAGAGGCCCAACAGAAGCAGUGGGAGAAGGAAAAGGCCAGAUUAUUGGACACACAGAAGGAGAAUGAGACCAUCUAUGAGCAACAACGAGAGAGGAUUGACCACCUCAAACAGACACUGGAGAAAUCAACAGAAGACGUUAAGGUGCUGAAGGAGCAGCUGGUGACAGAAAAAGAUGCUCAACAACAUCAAAACAAUCUGAGGAUUAAAGUCAAAGAAGAGGAAAUCUCCCGCCUCAGCGUUUUAUGGGAAACGGCUAAGCGUACGGUCUCCAUCCAAGCCCUGGAACUGGAAAAUAAAGUUCAUCUGGAGGCUGAAAAUGGAAAUAUAAUUUCCACCUUGAAGGUUUCUAUCACCACUACACAGGAAAAGCUUGAAGAAACAAGAGAAAAAUGCAAACAGCUGAACGACGUUCAAAAACAGAACAAGGAGCUGAUCCACCUUCUUCAGUCCCAGCUGAAGAUAAAGGAAGGAGAACUUCAAGAACAAUGCCUUCAGGCCAUAAAAUAUCAGGAGAACCUUCAAUUUGAACUCAAAAAACUGAAUGAGGAGAAUGUCUUUGCUUCAGUAGAAACAGAACUCAGCAC
rnacentral:lncRNA from 1 species